GACGAACGCUGGCGGCGUGCUUAAUACAUGCAAGUCGAGCGAUGAAAGCCUUAUGAACUAUUCGUAGUGAUUGGGGCCGGAUUAGCGGCGGACGGGUGAGUAACGCGUGAGCAACCUGCCUUAAACAACGGGAUAGCCUCGGGAAACCGGGAUUAAUACCGUAUGAGACCCCGCCUUCACAUGAAGAAGAGGUUAAAGAUUUAUCGGUUUAAGAUGGGCUCGCGUCUGAUUAGCUAGUUGGUGAGAUAAAAGCCCACCAAGGCAACGAUCAGUAACCGGCUUGAGAGAGUGAACGGUCACAUUGGAACUGAGACACGGUCCAAACUCCUACGGGAGGCAGCAGUGGGGAAUAUUGCACAAUGGGGGAAACCCUGAUGCAGCGACGCCGCGUGAGCGAUGAAGGAAUUCGUUUCGUAAAGCUCUGUCCAAGGGGAAGAUAAUGACAGUACCCUUGGAGGAAGCCCCGGCUAAAUACGUGCCAGCAGCCGCCGUAA
rnacentral:rRNA from 1 species